CAGAAGAUUUCAACAACUUUCAGCCUCCACACAACCUCGGUGAGAUUCAUCAUCCAGACAAAGGAAAAAGCUGGAACAGUAGAAAACCUUCAGGAGUGACUGACACAAAAAAGGCUUGAAAACUCAAUCAAGAGAAAAGACACCAAGACUCAGAUACAUCUGGAUGAUCUCCAAAACCUUUCAACAAACAAAUCGGACGUUUUCAUGGAACCACAGCUUCAGUGACGUUUCUGCAUCCUCCCUGUUAGAAAACAGGAAAUCAGUCGUCCAUCAGCCUCCUGCCCUUUGCUGUUAGGUCACAUUGAUUCCAGACUUCAUCUGCUCGGCGGGCAACAGCAGGCAGCCCAGGAUGUAAACACAGGAAACCGUGAAGAAAGAAGUGCUACUACAACAACAACCACAACAAGAACAACAACGACCUAUUUUCUUUGGGUUUCUGCUUCAGGUUUUCUAUCAAUUUCAGCAAAUCCCUGGAUUUUACAGUGUUAGAUGUGUGAUGUGCAUUUACCCCCUGAUAGCAUCAAAUGGUUUAUUCCUCACAUAUUACAGAACCUCUCGUCCAAAUCCUCAUUCUGCCACGGACCUCUUUUUUUUUAAAUCACAGCAACCUUUUUUU